AGAGCUAUUUGCAGCCAAGAAUGACUUGCCGGAAUGCAUACGUUAGAUGUCAACUUAUAAUGUUUCUUAGUUUCGGCAAGUUGUUUUUGGCUACAUUUGUCUUUCU
rnacentral:pre_miRNA from 2 species